rnacentral:rRNA from 1 species
UACGAAGGGUGCGAGCGUUGUUCGGAAUUACUGGGCGUAAAGGGUUUGUAGGCUGAAAUGUAAGUCAAGUGUGAAAUCCCCGAGCUAAACUUGGGACGUGCAUUUGAAACUGUGUUUCUUGAGUAUCGUAGAGGGUGGUGGAAUUGUAGGUGUAGGAGUGACAUCCGUAGAGAUCUGCAGGAACAUCAGAGGCGAAGGCGACCCCCUGGCCGAUGACUGACGCUGAGGAACGAAAGCGUGGGGAGCAAACAGG